ACCGGCAGCUAGCUCUUUGCAACUUUUACAUGGUCACCCACUGAAGCUAAGCAGGGCAGCGCCCGGUCAUUACCUGGAUGGGAGACCACAUGGAAAAGCUAGGUUGCUGCCGGAA
ensembl:rRNA 5S_rRNA 5S ribosomal RNA